UACGAAGGGGGCUAGCGUUGUUCGGAAUUACUGGGCGUAAAGGGCGCGUAGGCGGCGCAUUAAGUCAGGUGUGAAAGCCCUGGGCUCAACCCAGGAAUUGCACUUGAUACUGAUGUGCUUGAAUCCGGAAGAGGAUGACGGAAUUCCCAGUGUAGAGGUGAAAUUCAUUGAUAUUGGGAAGAACACCAGUGGCGAAGGCGGUCAUCUGGUCCGGUAUUGACGCUGAGGCGCGAAAGCGUGGGGAGCAAACAGG
rnacentral:rRNA from 2 species